GAAUUUGCCUAUUCUAGAUACUUCUUGUGCCUUUUUCCAUAAUUUUUUCUUAUAACCAGCCCUUCUCAUCCAAAGGCCACAAUGAAGUCGAAGAAACCUAUAGAUGACAGCUUUCACAAUCCUUCUCUUGCCUUUUCCUGUACUGACGUAUGUUAGAGAUCUGGCUGGCAGCUUCAAGACACUUGGAAGCAAGAGGGCCACUCUAUUAAGGAUCGCUGAAGUAUGCCCACAUGUCAGGUUUCUCUCAGAUGUGUCUCAGGUAUGCCUUUAUCAGCAGCAUGAAAACAGACUAAUACACACACUACUAUGCAGAGAUUAAAAGCAAUAAAGGAGUUGGGCACAGUGGCUCCAGCCUAUAAUCCCAGCACUUUGGGAGGCUGAGGCAGGCGGAUCACUUGAGGUCAGGAGUUCAAAACCAGCCUGGCCAACAUGGUAUCAAAACAUCAUUAUGGGCCGGGCACGGUGGCUUACGCCUGUAAUCCCAGCACUUUGGGAGGCUGAGGCAGGCAUAUGAAGAGGUCAAGAGAUCGAGAUCAUCCCGGCCAACAUGGUGAAACCCCAUCUCUACUAAAAAUACAAACAUUAGCUA
rnacentral:lncRNA from 10 species